rnacentral:rRNA from 1 species
AUGAACGCUGGCGGCGUGCCUAAUACAUGCAAGUCGAGCGAACAGACGAGGAGCUUGCUCCUCUGACGUUAGCGGCGGACGGGUGAGUAACACGUGGAUAACCUACCUAUAAGACUGGGAUAACUUCGGGAAACCGGAGCUAAUACCGGAUAAUAUAUUGAACCGCAUGGUUCAAUAGUGAAAGACGGUUUUGCUGUCACUUAUAGAUGGAUCCGCGCCGCAUUAGCUAGUUGGUAAGGUAACGGCUUACCAAGGCAACGAUGCGUAGCCGACCUGAGAGGGUGAUCGGCCACACUGGAACUGAGACACGGUCCAGACUCCUACGGGAGGCAGCAGUAGGGAAUCUUCCGCAAUGGGCGAAAGCCUGACGGAGCAACGCCGCGUGAGUGAAGGUCUUCGGAUCGUAAAACUCUGUUAUUAGGGAAGAACAAAUGUGUAAGUAACUAUGCACGUCUUGACGGUACCUAAUCAGAAAGCCACGGCUAACUACGUG